ensembl:lncRNA
AGAGUUCUUUGUUCUUGGCACCAGGAUGUGCCUGGCUUUUAACAUCAUAAUUUUAGGAAAACUAACAGGGAGAGGUUACAAAAUUAAAAAGGGCAUUUUAUUCUUUUAAAUAUGGUACUUGUAGUGAAAUGAAGCAAGAUAAUGGCUGUAAGAUGAGGAACAAGAAAAACAUUUGGCUUCUUUUAUUAGCACUCAAAACACCUGAAAUUCAUUGGAGAGUUAAUACUAAGCUCACGGUACAUGCAGCUGUGCCUUCAAUAGAUCCACGAGAGUCACUUGGGAUACUCAGACUAUUUUUAUUUUGAUGAAUGUGCAGCAAAAAAUAACUAAUUUCCUGUCUGCCUCAGAGCCAUCUUCACAGAAAGAGCUUCUCCUCUGGAGCUGACUGCACAUUUCCAUCACCUGCUUGCACUGCCAUAUAACACCAGCAUUGACUUUGGUACUCAACACUACCGGUAAUAGGUUAACGUUUAAUAACUCUGAAUUAUUACCAUACCAGCAAUCGUGCCAACAACCAGUGGCUAAUUUCUAUAACUAACAAAUAUGACAAGUAUAUAAUUGGAAUGUGGGCUUAAACAUGCUCUUGGUUUAGAAGCACUGCUGCUGUCAUUGAGUUAAGCCUCGCUGUAACAACAGCUUGUCAGUCCUUCUACUGUUUGAGCUGAAAAAGGUUUAAAAAAAAAAAAAAAAAAAAAAAAAAAAAGGCCUUUAAACUACUAUACAUGUGCAAAGUUUCACAACAUCGUUACUUCAUUAACAGCUGAAUCCAGUGAGCCUACGACAGCGCUAAACAAAUGACAUGCUAAUUCACGUUACGAACAGAAUAAGCACAGUUAGCUACUUCUUUACUAUGGGAAGGAGCAGAGGUAUAUGCUUGCCACCACACAGCUAAAACUAUCAAAAACCUCUACUAGGUGCACGUGCCGUAACAACAACAAGAUGACUGACAUUUCCCAUUUGGAUUUCUGGCUCUUUAGGGUAAGCUCUGAUUUGCCCCAUAGAUUUUUGAUUCAGGAUUCUUUGCUUUGAGUCAACAGUGACACCGUAUGCAAAAUUAGAAAGACACCUUGCGAUAGUGUGCAAAUCAAGUUCCCGCUCACCAUGUUUGUCCAGACUUACAGAUUUACUUUAAUAUAAGCUUUGAAGAAAUGCAAUAGAUGGGCACCAAAGAUUUGUAUCCAACCAAAUGAGAGUGUUGUGGUUCUGAAAAAUGUCAAAAAAGUGUUUUUGCAGAACAUUACAAUAUAACUGUAAUUAUGACCUUUGAUCUUUUGGCCAGGAAGUCUCAUGACAUCAUCACUUUAUACACCAAUUAUAACAAAAUUUUGGCCGAUAAUUAAGAGAUAAAGUUUUCAGAUAUGGCAGAAAAGCUCUUUGUGCAGCCUCGGUGACCCUGACCUUUGACCACCAAAAUCUAAUCAGUUCUUUCUCGAAUGCAAGUGAUGGUUUUGUGUCAAAUGUGAAGAAAUUCCCCUUAGGCACUCCUGAGAUAUCG